rnacentral:rRNA from 1 species
CAGUGGGGAGCUCUGUUCUCUGGACUGCACCUGAGGCGAGACAGGAUAGCGUGGAGACCAAACUAGAUAACAUACUAGUGCACUCCGUAAACUAAGGGAUGAAUGCGUGGGGUCGGGAGUCAUACUUCGCUGCAGCAGUUACAACAAUAAGCACUCCAGGGGGGGAGUGCGGCAACAAGGAUGAUCAUCAAAGGAAUCGACGGGGACCCCCACCAGCAGAGCAGCAUGUUUAUUACUUCGCUGCAAGACGAACAUCACCACCACGUCUCGUCAUUCCUCGGACCUGAGUAGAAAUAGUCCUUUCCUUUGAGUGCCGAAGAGGCCAGGUGUUCCAUGUUUUUGUUCAGUUCUGUUCUUAGAAUGUUGGGUUAAUUCCCCCACGAAGGCCAACCCUAUCCUUUAUUGCCAACCAGUUGGGUGGUCCAUUUUGGAAGGACUCCGGGGAUUAAUUGGAAGAAAGGGGGGGAGGAGUUAAAUUCUUCAUCCCCUUUAUUCUUGGGGUACCACACGUGUACAAAUGUUCGAAACAGAGGGAAGCCACCUCGCAAGAGAGAGCUAAUCCCACAAACCAGAUCCCAGUUCGGAUUGUGGGCUGCAAUUCGCCCACAUGAAGCCGGAGUUGCUAGUAAUCGCGAAUCAGCAUGUCGCGGUGAAUGCGUUCCCGGGCCUUGUACACACCGCCCGUCACACCAUGGAAGUUGGCAGCACCCGAAGCCGGUGACCCAACCAUAAGGGAGGAGCCGUCGAAGGUGAGGUCAAUGACUGGGGUGAAGUCGUAACAAGGUAGCCAAGGGCGAUCC